rnacentral:rRNA from 1 species
AUCGAUGAAGAACGCAGCGAAAUGCGAUAAGUAGUGUGAAUUGCAGAAUUCAGUGAAUCAUCGAAUCUUUGAACGCACAUUGCGCCCUUUGGUAUUCCUUAGGGCAUGCCUGUUCGAGCGUCAUCUAAAACCCUCAAGCACUGCUUGGUGUUGGGCGCCUUGUCCCGCCUCCGGCGCGGACUCGCCUCAAAAGCAUUGGCGGCCUGUGUAUUGGCUUCGAGCGCAGCAGACUUGCGCCUCGCAGACCUCUCGCGCGGGCGUCCACGAAGAUGCACCCCACAAGUUUGACCUCGGAUCAGGUAGGGAUACCCGCUGAACUUAAGCAUAUCAAUAAGCGGAGGAAAAGAAACCAACAGGGAUUGCCCUAGUAACGGCGAGUGAAGCGGCAAGAGCUCAAAUUUGAAAUCUGGCCCUCUCAGGGCCCGAGUUGUAAUUUGUAGAGGGCGCUUUGGCGUCGGCCCCGGCCUAAGUUCCUUGGAACAGGACGUCACAGAGGGUGAGAACCCCGUACGUGGCCGCCGGCCUUCGCCGUGUAAAGCCCCUUCGACGAGUCGAGUUGUUUGGGAAUGCAGCUCUAAAUGGGAGGUAAAUUUCUUCUAAAGCUAAAUACUGGCCAGAGACCGAUAGCGCACAAGUAGAGUGAUCGAAAGAUGAAAAGCACUUUGGAAAGAGAGUCAAAAAGCACGUGAAAUUGUUGAAAGGGAAGCGCUUGCAGCCAGACUUGCCUGUAGUUGCUCAUCCGAGCCCUCGCUCGGUGCACUCUUCUGCGGGCAGGCCAGCAUCAGUCCGGGCGGUCGGAUAAAGGCCUCGGGAAUGUAGCUCCCCUCGGGGAGUGUUAUAGCCCGGGGCGCCAUGCGACCAGCCUGGACUGAGGUCCGCGCAUCUGCUAGGAUGCUGGCGUAAUGGCUGUAAGCGGCCCGUCUUGAAACACGG